UACGUAGGUGACAAGCGUUGUCCGGAUUUACUGGGCGUAAAGAGCGCGCAGGCGGUCGUUCAAGUCGAGUGUGAAAGCCCCCGGCUCAACUGGGGAGGGUCAUUCGAUACUGAUCGACUCGAAGGCAGGAGAGGGUAGUGGAAUUCCCGGUGUAGUGGUGAAAUGCGUAGAUAUCGGGAGGAACACCAGUGGCGAAGGCGGUUCUCUGGGCCUUACCUGACGCUGAGGAGCGAAAGCGUGGGGAGCGAACAGG
rnacentral:rRNA from 1 species